AUACGCUGGCGGCGUUCCUAACCAUGCCNGUCGAACGAGGAACCCCGAGCUUGCUCGGGGGAGUAAAGUGGCGCACGGGUGAGUAAUGCGUGGGUAAUCUACUUCUAAGUUCGGGAUAACCUGCCGAAAGGCGGACUAAUACCGGAUGAUAUCCAGAGUACUGCGGUGCAUCGGAUUAAAGAUGGCCUCUACAUGUAAGCUAUUGCUUGGGAAUGAGCCUACGUACCAUUAGCUUGUUGGUAGGGUAAAGGCCUACCAAGGUGACGAUGGUUAGCUGGUCUGAGAGGACGAUCAGCCACACUGGAACUGAGACACGGUCCAGACUCCUACGGGAGGCAGCAGUGAGGAAUCUUGCGCAAUGGGGGCAACCCUGACGCANCAACGCCGCGUGAGUGAANAAGGCCUUUGGGUCGUAAAGCUCUGUCAAGUGGGAAAACCUGUCCGUGAUAAUCCCNAGCCUGACGGUCCCUGAAGGAANCCCGCUACUCGUCCACACCGNGUAAUCCGAGGUNANCUUUUCGAAUCUGGCCUAAAGCCCUANCCGCUCUUAUCAGCUNAACCCAGUAACU
rnacentral:rRNA from 1 species